UGACAAGAAGCGAGAAGCGGAACGAAGCAAACAUAAAUUGAGAAAGAUGUGGAGGAGGCAAGAAAAAAGAAAGAAAUGGCAAAGAUGUCAAUUCCGAAGGAAAGAGAAGAAGACAGAGGUGAGGGAGAAAGAAGUGGAAAAUAAGAAGAACUAAAAAGAAUAGAAGAAGAGGAACAAGGAAAAGAGAUAGAGAGUGAAGAGAAACAGAAAGAAAGUGGAUGGUAAAGAAAAAGAAAUGGAUAUAGUUUCUCCCUUCGAACCUUCA
rnacentral:lncRNA from 1 species